rnacentral:rRNA from 1 species
AACGAACGCUGGCGGCAUGCCUAACACAUGCAAGUCGAACGAGACCUUCGGGUCUAGUGGCGCACGGGUGCGUAACGCGUGGGAACCUGCCCUUAGGUUCGGAAUAACUCCCCGAAAGGGGUGCUAAUACCGGAUAAUGUCUUCGGACCAAAGAUUUAUCGCCUUUGGAUGGGCCCGCGUUGGAUUAGCUAGUUGGUAGGGUAAAAGCCUACCAAGGCGACGAUCCAUAGCUGGUCUGAGAGGAUGAUCAGCCACACUGGGACUGAGACACGGCCCAGACUCCUGCGGGAGGCAGCAGUGGGGAAGAGGGGACGAUGGGCGAAAGCCUGAUCCAGCAAUGCCGCGUGAGUGAUGAAGGCCUUAGGGUUGUAAAGCUCUUUUACCCGGGAUGAUAAUGACAGUACCGGGAGAAUAAGCUCCGGCUAACUCCGUG